GACGAACGCUGGCUGCGGGCUUAACACAUGCAAGUCGAACGGUGAACGAGGGAGCUUCCUCCCUCCGGAUCAGUGGCGAACGGGUGAGUAACACGUGAGCAAUCUGCCCCGAACUCUGGGAUAAGCGUUGGAAACCACGUCUAAUACCGGUUACGACUCGUGACCGCAUCCUCCCCGCGUGUAGAGAACUGCGGUUCGGGAUGAGCUCGCGGCCUAGCUACGUGUAGGUGAUGUAACGGCUCACCACGGCCACGACGGGUAACCGGCCUGAGAGGGUGACCGGCAACAGUGGGACAGAGACACGGCCGGGAGUCCUACGGGAGGCAGCAGUGGGGAAGAGUGCACGAUGGGCGCAAGCAGGAUGCAGCAACGCGGCGUGAGGGACGACGACCUGCGGGUUGUAAACCUCUUUUAGCAGGGAAGAAGAGAAAGUGACGGUACCUGAAGAAAAAGCACCGGCUAACUACGUG
rnacentral:rRNA from 1 species